AUGAACGCUGGCGGCGUGCCUAAUACAUGCAAGUCGAGCGAACGGACGAGAAGCUUGCUUCUCUGAUGUUAGCGGCGGACGGGUGAGUAACACGUGGAUAACCUACCUAUAAGACUGGGAUAACUUCGGGAAACCGGAGCUAAUACCGGAUAAUAUUUUGAACCGCAUGGUCCAAAAGUGAAAGACGGUCUUGCUGUCACUUAUAGAUGGAUCCGCGCUGCAUUAGCUAGUUGGUAAGGUAACGGCUUACCAAGGCAACGAUGCAUAGCCGACCUGAGAGGGUGAUCGGCCACACUGGAACUGAGACACGGUCCAGACUCCUACGGGAGGCAGCAGUAGGGAAUCUUCCGCAAUGGGCGAAAGUCUGCCGGAGCAACGCCGCGUGAGUGAUGAAGGUCUUCGGAUCGUAAAACUCUGUUAUUAGGGAAGAACAUAUGUGUAAGUAACUGUGCACAUCUUGACGGUACCUAAUCAGAAAGCCACGGCUAACUACGUG
rnacentral:rRNA from 1 species